AUUGAACGCUGGCGGCAGGCCUAACACAUGCAAGUCGAGCGGAUGAGUGGAGCUUGCUCCAUGAUUCAGCGGCGGACGGGUGAGUAUGCCUAGGAAUCUGCCUGGUAGUGGGGGACAACGUUUCGACAGGAACGCUAAUACCGCAUACGUCCUACGGGAGAAAGUGGGGGAUCUUCGGACCUCACGCUAUCAGAUGAGCCUAGGUCGGAUUAGCUAGUUGGUGAGGUAAAGGCUCACCAAGGCGACGAUCCGUAACUGGUCUGAGAGGAUGAUCAGUCACACUGGAACUGAGACACGGUCCAGACUCCUACGGGAGGCAGCAGUGGGGAAUAUUGGACAAUGGGCGAAAGCCUGAUCCAGCCAUGCCGCGUGUGUGAAGAAGGUCUUCGGAUUGUAAAGCACUUUAAGUUGGGAGGAAGGGCAGUAAGUUAAUACCUUGCUGUUUUGACGUUACCAACAGAAUAAGCACCGGCUAACUUCGUGCCAGCCGCCGCCGUAA
rnacentral:rRNA from 1 species